UGCGUAAGAGGAACAGAUUGAGGGGAUGUCCAGAAGGAGCAACGGCGGGAGUCUGGACAACAGCUGAGCUGUCAACUCCAGGGGCGCACAGGGGACCCACACACCAAAUAUUUUGUUUUGCUCAGUAACUGAAAUCUGUCGCGGCGCGGCCGCCAGGGUUGGUAAACUUCAUGGGAUUGUAACUUGACUAAAGAUAAUUUGGAGAAGAGCGAAGUGAGGCGGCGUGUUUUUGGGGCUGCUGUUUGUCGAUGUGUGUAUGUGUGCGUGUAUGUAGGUGUAAGAACACACCUGCGUUCAAGGAGAUUUGGAGUGUCUGCCUGUGCGACAGCUGAGGAAGAACCGACGGGAUUUCUCUGCGGUUUGCGCUGCCUGCAUCUGAAUAAAUUCAGCUCUCAGGCAUCCGGCAGGAAACGGCU
rnacentral:lncRNA from 1 species